rnacentral:lncRNA from 1 species
AAUAUGUUGUAGUUCCCCAAAGAGAGCUCUUAAUCCUCUUAAGAAUGCACUAAACUCCUCCAUAUCUGUUAUUUGCCAUCAGUCUUGAUACAACAUGCAGAAGCUUGUCUGAAAAAGAAACCAAAUGGAGGCAAAGUAGCCAAGAGAUGAGAAAAGAGUACAGACCCUGAUGAUCUCAUUUGAUCCUUGGAUUCUCCCAUGAUGCCUCUUGGACUAUUCAGUUUUUAAAU